rnacentral:rRNA from 1 species
AACCUGCGGAAGGAUCAUGG